rnacentral:rRNA from 1 species
AGUGAACGCUGGCGGCAGGCCUAACACAUGCAAGUCGAGCGGCAGCGGGUCCUUCGGGAUGCCGGCGAGCGGCGGACGGGUGAGGAAUGCGUCGGAAUCUGCCUUUUUGUGGGGGAUAACGUAGGGAAACUUACGCUAAUACCGCAUACGACCUACGGGUGAAAGUGGGGGACCGCAAGGCCUCACGCAGAAAGAUGAGCCGACGUCGGAUUAGCUAGUUGGCGGGGUAAAGGCCCACCAAGGCGACGAUCCGUAGCUGGUCUGAGAGGAUGAUCAGCCACACUGGAACUGAGACACGGUCCAGACUCCUACGGGAGGCAGCAGUGGGGAAUAUUGGACAAUGGGCGCAAGCCUGAUCCAGCCAUGCCGCGUGUGUGAAGAAGGCCUUCGGGUUGUAAAGCACUUUUGUCCGGAAAGAAAUCCUGUCGGCUAAUACCCGGCGGGGAUGACGGUACCGGAAGAAUAAGCACCGGCGAACUUCGU